UACGGAGGGUGCAAGCGUUAAUCGGAAUUACUGGGCGUAAAGCGUGCGCAGGCGGUUUGUUAAGUCUGUUGUGAAAUCCCCCGAGCUCAACUUGGGAAUUGCAAUGGAUACUGGCAGGCUGGAGUAUGGUAGAGGAAGGUGGAAUUCCCGGUGUAGCAGUGAAAUGCGUAGAGAUCGGGAGGAACACCAGUGGCGAAGGCGGCCUUCUGGACCAAUACUGACGCUCAUGCACGAAAGCGUGGGGAGCAAACAGG
rnacentral:rRNA from 1 species